UCGGAUAUGGUGUAACGGCUAACAUUGCCGCCUUUCAUCUAUUUAUCCCUCGUCUUUCGCGGCAGCUCGGGGUUCGAUUCCCCGUAUCCGAA
rnacentral:tRNA from 1 species